CCAGGGCGUAGACGAGGGGAACGCUCAGCAGGCUCACGGCCAGCCAGGACAGCAGCGAGGCCGGGCCGGCGAUCCGGGCGGCGUGCCCGGGG
rnacentral:tRNA from 1 species